rnacentral:tRNA from 2 species
GCGUCCGUAGCUCAGUUGGUUAGAGCACCACCUUGACAUGGUGGGGGUCGGUGGUUCGAGUCCACUCGGCCGCACCA